AGCACAUUUUCUAAUCUCAAAAAAAUGAUUUGUCACGUCAAUAACAACAGGCAGUGGGCACAAACAAGGUUCUUUUUUUCUUUUCUUUUUUUGUUUAAAGGUUUAAGACGUGAGAAAAAGCGUUUUGACAAUAUUUUCCACAAUCCGAAAAAUAUACUUGUGCUGAUUUUCUUAAAACAUUAUGUAUCAAACACUAAUAAUAUAGGGAAUUGUUGAGAAGAAAUAUUCUUGCUUAUCCCAAAUAAAUAGUAAAGUAAUUGACUAAGGAAUCCCGCGGGCUAGCUUGUUUGGCUGAAAUUGGUUUUGGGCGAACAGAGCAUAUUAGAAUAUUCUUCUCGUAUAUUACCUCUUUGGCCCAACUCCUAUGUAUAAAUAUAUCCUUUAUUUUUUUUCCACAAACAAAAACACACACCUCUCAUCCUUCAUGUUGGUGCUAGCUCAGCUGCAGCACCUCCGCCGGCGCCACCCAGCCCUUCCCAGUGAAAUGGCUCAUUAAGCUCACAUAAUGUAAUCAACAACCCGAUCAGCUCCAUUUGUUGAGUUGCUGACAAAUUUUCACAUUUGAAGGUGUUUUCACAGUCAAGAAAAGAGAGGCAGAAGAAAGACAAACGAGAGAAAGCUAUUAUACUUCAAACAGAGAGUGUUUGAACUUCAAGACCUGUACACUAAUGUCGCCUUUCAGUUUUCAAACAUUUCUAUAAGGACCAUAUAUUAUCAAAAAAGCUAGAGUGCAGUUUGUCAGCCUCAAGCUAUUGCCAGAAGAUCCAAGUGCUAAUUUUCAUAUAUUGCAAGAUGUACUGGUGCGGAUGUUGAACUAAACACAUUGGAAUAUGUUUUAUCGUAUAA